UAUAUUUAAGAACGGAGGAAGUAUAUGUUAGCCAACUAAUAAAUGACUCAGCUACACAGAAAUACUACACUUAUAUCAACCUACUCUUUAUUUAUGAGCUAUAUAACUCUAGCUAUUUACUUGCUUCCAAUUCCUCAGCAUCAGUUGUAUACAUAUUGAUGCUUCAGGUGUGAAGGAGAAUAAAGUGAGCACGAUAAGUUUCUCUUGUGGUAGCUAUUGGUUACGGACAAAAGUUGUGCUCACAGUUUAUAUGGCUCUACCUUCAUCUUGCCACAAGCUUCGGAAGAACAUGGGGCAUGUUUAUUUUUUGUUUGUUUA
rnacentral:lncRNA from 1 species